GUCAUCACAGGUACCGUAAAAAAAACGUGUUGGCUACCGCGCGUCUUCCCCGCGACCCCCGCCUCCUCUCUUGCCGCCGCUGCCGAUGCCCGUGACCUAGCGUCUCCCCCGCGACCCCCGCCUCCUCUCCUGCCGCCGCCACCGGAGAAGCUCGCCUCCGCGCCAACAAGCCUCGGAUCCGGGACGAGGAGGGGUGGAUGAGACGGGGGAGGAGGAGGAGGAGAGUGUGGGGGCGUCUAGGGGGAGCGAGGGGUGAGAAGAUGAGAGGGAGAGAGAGAAGAGGGGGGGUGUAGCAGGGCCGGACCGCCGUCCUCUUCCACUCCAUCAACAGGCUUUCUCAAUAGCAGGCCGCACCACCGCUCGAAAGCCGUCGGUCCUCUUCCACUCCAUCAACACAAUUUCAGCGGCAGGGAGUGCUUGCCGUAGUGGAAAUGAAGCAAGAAUUGGAUGGAGCUCAGGAUUUUGCUACUACCUUGCUAAUAGCUUUGUGAGGCAUGUCACCAUUUGCAAGUGCAAGAAGAAAGCACCGAGGAAAAUCCACAAAGCCAAGAGGCAGAAGCAUAAGCGCGACCUGCUCAAUGAUCUCUUCAGUGAACUUAUCAAAAUGCUAGGUGAGUUAAAUAGGUGUGCAUCAAUCACUAGCCCCCUCGACACCUUACAAAUUACGUCACAGCUAGCGUUGCUUCAGUGAAGCUGUCUCUUAAUUUGGGGGGUCGUUUCCUUUUCCAUGUGGUUAUUUGGAAUGUCAGAGUUGAGUGUGGGCAUGUAUGAAUCUGGGUCAUGUUGUUACCAUCCAUGUCCAAUUGUCCAAGUCAUGCUUUUGGGGUGAAUAUUGGGGUUCAGUAUGUGUCAUGGAUUUCUUUAGUAGAUCCCAAUGAAUGUUUAUGCUGCUGAAAACGUGGAUGACCUCAUUUAAAAUUAGUAACACCAGAAGACCUCUCGAUGUUUGUUGACAAUUCAUUACAUUAUGCAUACUUGUCAGCAUAUAAAACUGUGUAGUACCUGCAUCCAUUAAUUCCAAUCUUUUUCUAAUCCAUCUGUCUCAGCCACGCAUCUUGCAUCAAACUGUAUGUGCCUUGGAGUAUAUUGAUUCUUAUAUUGCACCCAUUAGUGAAGAAAUUGCGAAAUGCUUACUAUGCAUGGUGAUUAUUUAAUCAUAGUAACAUUUGCAUGAAAAGGCACUUCAAAUCAGGGCUAAUUUUCAAGCCUGAAUACCUUUUACUUAGAACAAAGUACUGGUACAUCUUCUCUAUUUUUAAAUGUAGCCAUCCCACUCUCCCUGGAAGCCCUGCUCCCCUGCUACAUUUCCAUGGUCACCGCCCCCAGGAACGGCUACAAUAUGAAGCGACGCACAAGGUCAUGCGCCUUUGCGCCUGGUGGGAACAUCUACUGCAUUAAUAGAAUGCCAAGCACAGGAAGAGGCUCCCCAAGAUGAUAUAUGUUUCUUCAGUUUACGCACAUUUUUUAGAACUUUUUUCACCCAAUGAUAAUUCAUUACUGCUUGAACUCUCCAUGGUCAUACAAUUUGGUUGGUGUCAUGUUCUGAAUGCAUGGUGAUAUUGAGCACGUACAAGGCUUUCCGAUUCAACCGCAAUUUCCAGGGUAGUUGUUCUAGCAGGAUAUUGUAUUUGUUACGGAAAACACGGAUGAGUAAUUACAUGAUAUAUUAUUAAUAUUAAACUGUGUUGUUUGUGUUGUUUCUCUGAAACUAACUUGGCAUUUCAGCUGUGGAAACUGAUGUUCUAACCUUAGUUCCAUAGAUGAAUCUUUGUUGUCUUUUUCAGAAAGGGAAUAUCUGGGGUAUCUUUCUUUGUGGAUUUAUUCAAUGAGUUUUCUACAUUGUGCUGCAUUGUUAAGAAAGAGUUUGAUGAUGCCACAAGAGCAAGAAUUAAAAGUCAUUUGUAGAACCAUGUUUCCUCAUGGCAGGAGGCGAGCAAUACUUUACUAUUACAAUGUUCAUUUUCAAUACAAUCAGAAGUAUGACACUGAUUGUCAAUUGCGUGUUCAUGCAGGUUGCGCGUUCAUGCAAUACUUUACCCAUGAAAUAGAAGAGUUGUGCAGGCGUGUGAUUCAAGUUCUUCGUCGGAAUGGACCCAACUCAUUCAGUGAAGAAAUUUCAAGGUUCUCUUUCGGAACUGGUUUGAGCUUCUAUAAGUUCAAUUUGAAGAACAGUAUCACAGAAUAAGGAAUCAUCAAAAUAAUGAGGUAACAGCAGAGGGUGAGUGGUGCAAAAAAGAUUGAUGACAUGAGCUAAAAACAGGCAAGAGAAUGUACAGAAAAGCCUUACUUUAGAUUUAGCCAAUAGAGCAUGUGCCCUUCGCAUAGCGAUAAUAACUUUUAGUAAAACAACAUCACCGUUUUCAUUCAGGGUAUACAAUAUCUUACAAACAGUCAAGGAUUCACCAACUCAGCAGUCAAGCAUUAGAUAGAUAACAAAAAGGUAGCAAUAACAUGUGUGCAGAAGUACAUUCCUACUCAUCAUGAGGGCAGGUGUCAAGAAGGAACUAAAGAUACCCAUAGCAUUUCCCCACUUUAAUCAAUCUUAGUGGAACUGGGUAGUCAUGUAAAGUAGUUUCACUUGGGGUGCAUCCAUCAGCCUCCUUAACUACAUAAUUGACAGUGGAGCUGAAACUUCCCCUCUUUUUUUAAGAAUGCCGAGUCGGGUUCUUCUCCUACCAGUAUCGAAUAGAACGCAAAAUCGAAUUUCAUUGCAGGAAAUUAGGAUUUCAUGAGGGAGGAAAAGGGGGUGGAGAGUCGUGCAAUGCAUUGGUGGGAUGAAGAUCAUAGAAGCGAAUGCCUCUCGUAAUGGAUUGAAAAGUGCUCUGCUGCUUCAAAUAUCCUGACAAUUCAAAUACAAACUGCAGGCCUGUACUUACGGUCAGAGAUGAUGGGUGAACAUUCCUUAUUUCCAAUAACAAUACUUUCCACUUGAAGGAAGUUUCUUAUUGGAUUACAUAAUACUUCCAAAUCAUCUUCAUUCUGGUCAUAGCUAUUCUGAGUUGUCAUAGUCUUCAAUGUUAGGCAUCUAGGUGCCCUAAGCAGCUUGUCAUUGACUGAUGGAUUUAGAAAACACAUAGAUUCCUGUUCCGCCUGUAGAUAAAGUAUAGUUAAGUAAUUAUGGAAUUCCUCAGGAAUUGUGUCCUGAAGUUUCCCACUUUCGAAGAAACUGGAAACCCAUAAUAGUUUCCUAUGGUUAUCCAUGAUCUCUUCUAGGUGCUUGGCAAACUCAUACUCCCUUUGUGAAGUAAUAUAAGAUCUUUUAGAUCAUUAAACUAGUGAUCUAGAAAGUCUUAUAUUAUUUUACAGAUGGAGUCUUCUUUACCACUUAUAAGCAACAUACUCACCGAAUCUACUCACGCUCAUUUUGGAGUGAUGAAGAAUUGAGAUGAUAAUGGAAAUAAGAUCCAUGACAUGUUGUUCCUAAGAUGUGCGACUGAUUGCAAUGGAACAAUAGGCGGAUGCACAAGUUCUUACCGAAACAGAGGUAGCACGGUCUAGAACAUGGGACACCAAACUGCAAGGGACAUAGGAAGAAUUAUUGUGUGUUGAAACUGAGAGUUGAAAGGGCCGCUAGCAAUUGGUCAUGUAUAUCAGACACCUAUCGCAAGCAGUUGAUACUGAUAGAGUCCAAAUACUACAGUCAACUGUGAUUCAAAUAAUUCUAAGCUUAAAAGAACCUCGAAUCCAACAACAUUUUUCCGCGCACCAUCUACUCGAUUGUAUGCCCAUAUGGAUUGUUUGAUCUCUUCUCCUCUGCAGAAUGCAGGUGCAAGUCCCCCGCUCAUUGAGGGCGUGGUCAGAUUGCUUAAUGAGUUCUUUUACUUUAGGGAUUUUAAGAUGACUACUCCUUGAGCACCAUAGUUGAUUGCUAUUUAUUUCAGAUCAAAUUCUCAAUCAAUUUUUCCUUCCAAUUGAAAUGAAAUAUUCGGCAAAAUAGAAUGAUGUAUAUUGUGAGACUAUGUACUGUAGGAGUUAUUUGAGUAAUGAUGUGAAGGCAAUGUAUAAACUUGGUGAAUUCACUUCAGUUUGCUGAUACUGAUAUACCGCUAUGUGUCCAGCAAGUGUGAUUUGCAAGUCAUAUAUAGUAUGUAUUCACAAACUUUUCUUUGUA